UACGUAGGGUGCGAGCGUUGUCCGGAAUUACUGGGCGUAAAGAGCUCGUCGGUGGUUUGUCGCGUUGUUCGUGAAAACUCACAACUCAAUUGUGGGCGUGCGGGCGAUACGGGCAGACUGGAGUACUGCAGGGGAGACUGGAAUUCCUGGUGUAGCGGUGGAAUGCGCAGAUAUCAGGAGGAACACCGGUGGCGAAGGCGGGUCUCUGGGCAGUAACUGACGCUGAGGAGCGAAAGCGUGGGGGGCGAACAGG
rnacentral:rRNA from 1 species